GCUUACGGCCACACCGCCUGGUUCACGCCCGAUCUCGUUUGAUCUCGGAAGCUAAGAUAGGGUGGGCCUGGUUAGUACUUGGAUGGGAGACCGCCUGGGAAUACCAGGUGUUGUAAGUU
rnacentral:rRNA from 1 species